AUUGAACGCUGGCGGCAUGCCUUACACAUGCAAGUCGAACGGCAGCACGGGUGCUUGCUCCUGGUGGCGAGUGGCGAACGGGUGAGUAAUACAUCGGAACAUGUCCUGUAGUGGGGGAUAGCCCGGCGAAAGCCGGAUUAAUACCGCAUACGAUCUACGGAUGACAGCGGGGGACCUUCGGUCCUCGCGCUAUAGGGUUGGCCGAUGGCUGAUUAGCUAGUUGGUGGGGUAAAGGCCUACCAAGGCGACGAUCAGUAGCUGGUCUGAGAGGACGACCAGCCACACUGGGACUGAGACACGGCCCAGACUCCUACGGGAGGCAGCAGUGGGGAAUUUUGGACAAUGGGCGAAAGCCUGAUCCAGCAAUGCCGCGUGUGUGAAGAAGGCCUUCGGGUUGUAAAGCACUUUUGUCCGGAAAGAAAUCCUUGGCCCUAAUACGGUCGGGGGAUGACGGUACCGGAAGAAUAAGCACCGGCUAACUACGUG
rnacentral:rRNA from 1 species